GACGAACGCUGGCGGCGUGCCUAAUACAUGCAAGUCGAGCGGACUGACUGGGAGCUUGCUCUUGUUCGGUCAGCGGCGGACGGGUGAGUAACACGUGGGCAACCUGCCCGCAAGACCGGGAUAACUCCGGGAAACCGGAGCUAAUACCGGAUAACACCGAAGACCGCAUGGUCUUUGGUUGAAAGGCGGCGCAAGCUGCCACUUGCGGAUGGGCCCGCGGCGCAUUAGCUAGUUGGUGAGGUAACGGCUCACCAAGGCGACGAUGCGUAGCCGGCCUGAGAGGGUGACCGGCCACACUGGGACUGAGACACGGCCCAGACUCCUACGGGAGGCAGCAGUAGGGAAUCUUCCGCAAUGGGCGAAAGCCUGACGGAGCGACGCCGCGUGAGCGAAGAAGGCCUUCGGGUCGUAAAGCUCUGUUGUGAGGGACGAAGGAGCGCCGUUUGAAGAAGGCGGCGCGGUGACGGUACCUCACGAGGAAGCCCCGGCUAACUACGU
rnacentral:rRNA from 1 species